GUUUGUUUGAGACUGAAUACACCCGAUCUCAUCUGAUCUGCAAAGCUAAGCAGGGUUGGGCCUGGUUAGUAUUUGGAUGGGAGACUACCUGGGAAUACCAGGUGCUGUAAGCU
rnacentral:rRNA from 1 species